rnacentral:rRNA from 1 species
UACGUAGGGUGCGAGCGUUGUCCGGAAUUAUUGGGCGUAAAGAGCUCGUAGGCGGUGUGUCACGUCGGCCGUGAAAACCUGCAGCUUAACUGUGGGCGUGCGGUCGAUACGGGCAUCACUGGAGUUCGGCAGGGGAGACUGGAAUUCCUGGUGUAGCGGUGAAAUGCGCAGAUAUCAGGAGGAACACCGGUGGCGAAGGCGGGUCUCUGGGCCGAAUACUGACGCUGGAGGAGCGAAAGCCGUGGGGAGCAAACAGG